rnacentral:rRNA from 1 species
GACGAACGCUGGCGGUGUGCUUAACACAUGCAAGUCGAACGGAAAGGCCCUGAUUUUGUGGGGUGCCCGAGUGGCGAUCGGGUGAGUAACACGAGAGUAACCUGCUCUUGACUUUGGGAUAACUUCAGGAAACUGGGGCUAAUAUCGGAUCGGAGCCCCUGCUGCAUGGAGGGGGUUGGAAAGUUUCGGCGGUCGGGGAUGGACUCGCGGCUUAUCAGCUUGUUGGUGGGGUAGUGGCUUACCAAGGCUUUGACGGGUAGCCGGCAUGGGAGGGUGACCGGCGACCAUGGGACUCAGGGAGGGACCAGUCUCGGACGGUGGACAACAGGGGGCAAUAUUACACAACGGUCCGAAGCCGGAUGCAGAGGCGCCGGGGUCGUAAUGACGGUUUUCUGGUUAUAAACCGCAUCCGCCUCUGACCAAGCGGUAGUGACGGUAAUGGAUAAAUAAGCACCGGCUAACUACGUG